rnacentral:ncRNA from 3 species
GGCCGGAUAAGGCGUUUACGCCGCAUUCGGCAACCAACGCCUGAUGCGACGCUUGCGCGUCUUAUCAGGCC